rnacentral:SRP_RNA from 1 species
GCUGGGCACGGUGGCACAUGCCUGUAAUCCCAGUGGCUGGGGAGGCUGAAGCAGGAGGAGCAUGUGUUCAAAGCCAGCUUCAG